CGGCAACGGAUAUCCCGGCUCUCGCAUCGAUGAAGAACGUAGCGAAAUGCGAUACUUGGUGUGAAUUGCAGAAUCCCGUGAACCAUCGAGUUUUUGAACGCAAGUUGCGCCCGAUGCCAUUAGGCUGAGGGCACGUCUGCCUGGGUGUCACGU
rnacentral:rRNA from 1 species